GAUGAACGCUGGCGGCGUGCCUAAUACAUGCAAGUCGAGCGAACAGACGAGGAGCUUGCUCCUCUGACGUUAGCGGCGGACGGGUGAGUAACACGUGGAUAACCUACCUAUAAGACUGGGAUAACUUCGGGAAACCGGAGCUAAUACCGGAUAAUAUAUUGAACCGCAUGGUUCAAUAGUGAAAGACGGUUUUGCUGUCACUUAUAGAUGGAUCCGCGCCGCAUUAGCUAGUUGGUAAGGUAACAGCUUACCAAGGCAACGAUGCGUAGCCGACCUGAGAGGGUGAUCGGCCACGCUGGAGCUGAGACACGGUCCAGACUCCUACGGGAGGCAGCAGUAGGGAAUCUUCCGCAAUGGGCGAAAGCCUGACGGAGCAACGCCGCGUGAGUGAUGAAGGUCUUCGGAUCGUAAAACUCUGUUAUUAGGGAAGAACAAAUGUGUAAGUAACGAUGACGUCUUGACGGUACCUAAUCAGAAAGCCACGGCUAACUACGUG
rnacentral:rRNA from 1 species